GAGGUGAUAGCUCAGUGGUAGAGCAGCUGAUUGCAGCUCAGCAGGUCAGGCGUUCGAACCGCCUUCCCCUCU
rfam:Tilletia controversa strain DAOM 236426 scaffold_351, whole genome shotgun sequence.